CAGCAGCAACAGCACAUGAUGGAGAUGAUGAUGAGGAGGAGACCAUCUCUCUGGAUUCCAGAAGGCAUGAGGACCCAGAUGCUAUACAGUGGGAAAACCAGCCUGGCAACAUAAGCUCACAAGCUAUCAGAAAGUUGUAUGGCAACCACCUCCGGCGCCAAAUAGAACUGGCAGACAUAGACAUUCAGUACAAGAAGAAAAAGCUAGAAAAUCUUGCACUGGAGUCCGAAAUAAAAAAGAGGACAAUUAGGAAACUGGACCUUGAAAUAAAAAAACUUGAGCGGGAGCAAUCAGUACAACCAAGUCAUCGUUAUAAGGCACCAGCCUCUUUUGCCCACCCCCCCAGCACCAGGUGUGGCCACUAGCCUAUAUGAAGGCCCAAAAUUGUGUGUUCCUUUCUGCUCUGACAAUGGCAUGCCCAUUCUUGCGAGAUGUGGUGGAUGAAGAAGCACUUGUGCUGAGGAGAGCCUUCAGGCGAGAAAGGGUCUUCAGGGACCGGUUGGACCCACUGGCCUUCCCUGAUGACCAUCUAUAUGAAAGAUACAGGUUUUCUGCAGAUGGCAUCAGGUAUCUAUGCAGACUACUGGGUCCCAGGAUUAAGCACCGCACUGCACGGAGCCAUGCACUGAGUGUGGAGCAAAUGGUUUGUGUGGCCUUGCGCUUUUUUGCUAGUGGAGCCUUCCUGUACUCAGUGGGGGGUGCAGAACAGCUGAACAAGGCCACACAAUAAGGAGUGUGUGUCUGGCUAUCAAAGCAUUAGCAGAUGUCUUCAUCUCCUUCCCUGGCCACAGAAGACUCUGUGACAUGAAAGAGGAGUUCUAUAGGAUUGCAGGUUUCCCCAAUGUCAUUGGUGCAGUGGACUGCACACACAUAAGGAUAAAAGCCCCCUCAGGUGCCCAUGAGGCCGAUUUUGUGAAUAGGAAAUCCUUUCACAGCAUUAAUGUUCAGAUGGUCUGCAAUGCUGACUGUGUGAUCAGCAAUGUUGUGGCGAAAUGGCCUGGCUCAGUCCAUGACUCCAGAAUCUUUCGGGCCUCUGAAAUCUAUCAGUGCCUAUCACAA